rnacentral:rRNA from 1 species
GUGCCAGCCGCCGCGGUAAUACAGAGGUCUCAAGCGUUGUUCGGAUUCAUUGGGCGUAAAGGGUGUGUAGGUGGCGCGCUAAGUCGGGUGUGAAAUUUCGGAGCUUAACUCCGAAACUGCAUUCGAUACUGGCGUGCUUGAGGACUGGAGAGGAGACUGGAAUUUACGGUGUAGCAGUGAAAUGCGUAGAUAUCGUAAGGAAGACCAGUGGCGAAGGCGGGUCUCUGGACAGUUCCUGACACUGAGACACGAAGGCCAGGGGAGCAAACGGGAUUAGAUACCCCGGUAGUCCUGGCAGUAAACGGUGCACGUUUGGUGUGGGAGGAUUCGACCCCUUCUGCGCCGGAGCCAACGCGUUAAACGUGCCGCCUGGGGGGUACGGUCGCAAGAUUAAA